GAUUAAAGGAUAAACAAACACCACUUCAUUUAGCGGUUGUAAAAGGACAUACGGAAAUUGUUGAUCUACUUCUUCGUCGUCAUGCUGACAAAAACCUAAAGGAUAAAAAUGGAUUUACUCCAUUAUGUUUUGCUAAAAGAGGGGAUAACGAGGAAAUUGUCAAAUUACUGAGCAAAUCUUCAAGAAAGCGAGAUAAAGUUGGCCAAGGGGAGGAUGUCGUACCUGACUCAGACGAGAAGCUAGAAGCCUUAGAUGAAAGAGUAACAGGAUUG